CUGAGCACGAAACCAGUCUCAAAGCGUGUGAUCUGGCACCGCGCACAGAGCUGUCACUGGCAACACAAAAGAUGAAGGAUUGCAGGUCGUGGCAUUCAUUCUCCCAAGCUGGAAACGACUGCACUCUCAGUCAGGGCAGGCAGCUGCAGGUUUGGGCUGCCUCCAUGCCCCGACAGUGGCUGAGGUGGCACCAGUGUCUUGUGGAGCCAUGUUGCCUGGCCAGCACCUGCCCAAGGAUGAAUUUUGGAAGAGGUCAGUGCAGGGCAUGAGUGCAAGCCCAGUCCCAUUCCACUGAGCCCUCUCUGCCAACCCCUUCAGUGGCUGUGCAGCUGCUUUCAAGGCACCUUUGCUGCCAAGCCUGCGGAGAUGUCUCCCCAUCUGAUCCCUUGCUGUAAGAAGUGAUGUGGCACAGACCUUCAGCAGCAGUACUCCUGGAAGUGAAAUUUGGGAAGGUGAGCGGGGUGUGGAGGAGAAAGUGCCGCCUAACGGAGCACCUGCUGCAAAUCAAGGGUGAAAGGGCAUUAAAGAAGACCUGGGAAAGA